rnacentral:rRNA from 1 species
AGCGAACGCUGGCGGCAGGCCUAACACAUGCAGGUCGAACGAACCCUUCGGGGUUAGUGGCGGACGGGUGAGUAACACGUGGGAACGUGCCUUUAGGUUCGGAAUAACUCAGGGAAACUUGUGCUAAUACCGAAUGUGCCCUUCGGGGGAAAGAUUUAUCGCCUUUAGAGCGGCCCGCGUCUGAUUAGCUAGUUGGUGAGGUAAUGGCUCACCAAGGCUACGAUCAGUAGCUGGUCUGAGAGGAUGACCAGCCACAUUGGGACUGAGACACGGCCCAAACUCCUACGGGAGGCAGCAGUGGGGAAUCUUGCGCAAUGGGCGAAAGCCUGACGCAGCCAUGCCGCGUGGACGAUGAAGGUCUUAGGAUUGUAAAAUCCUUUCACCGGUGAAGAUAAUGACUGUAGCCGGAGAAGAAGCCCCGGCUAACUUCGUGCCAGCCGCCGCAGUAAAAC